rnacentral:rRNA from 1 species
GAUGAACGCUGGCGGCGUGCCUAAUACAUGCAAGUCGAGCGAACAGACGAGGAGCUUGCUCCUCUGACGUUAGCGGCGGACGGGUGAGUAACACGUGGAUAACCUACCUAUAAGACUGGGAUAACUUCGGGAAACCGGAGCUAAUACCGGAUAAUAUAUUGAACCGCAUGGUUCAAUAGUGAAAGACGGUUUUGCUGUCACUUAUAGAUGGAUCCGCGCCGCAUUAGCUAGUUGGUAAGCUAACGGCUUACCAAGGCGACGAUGCGUAGCCGACCUGAGAGGGUGAUCGGCCACACUGGAACUGAGACACGGUCCAGACUCCUACGGGAGGCAGCAGUAGGGAAUCUUCCGCAAUGGGCGAAAGCCUGACGGAGCAACGCCGCGUGAGUGAUGAAGGUCUUCGGAUCGUAAAACUCUGUUAUUAGGGAAGAACAAAUGUGUAAGUAACUAUGCACGUCUUGACGGUACCUAAUCAGAAAGCCACGGCUAACUACGUG